UACGGAGGGUGCAAGCGUUGUCCGGAAUCACUGGGCGUAAAGGGCGCGUAGGCGGCUCAUGAAGGCUGUGGUGAAAGUCCGGGGCUCAACCUCGGAUCGGCCGUGGCGACUCGUGGGCUGGAGCACUGUAGAGGCGGGUGGAAUUCCGGGUGUAGCGGUGGAAUGCGUAGAGAUCCGGAAGAACACCAGUGGCGAAGGCGCCGCUGGGCAGUGGCUGACGCUGAGGCGCGACAGCGUGGGGAGCAAACAGG
rnacentral:rRNA from 1 species